AUUGAACGCUGGCGGCAGGCCUAACACAUGCAAGUCGAACGAGUGGCGGACGUGUGAGAAGUGUCUGGGAAUCUGUGCGAGAGAGGGGUAUAACUACUGGAAACGGGAGCUAAUACCGCAUAUCAUGGUAUGUGCACAGAUGGGAUUAGCUAGUGGGUGGGGUAACGGCUCACCUAGGAGACGAUCCCUAGCUGGUCUGAGAGGAUGACCAGCAACACUGGAACUGAGACACGGUCCAGACUCCUACGGGAGGCAGCAGUGGGGAAUAUUGCACAAUGGGCGCAAGCCUGAUGCAGCCAUGCCGCGUGUAUGAAGAAGGCCUUCGGGUUGUAAAGUACUUUCAGCGAGGAGGCGUUACUCGCAGAAGAAGCACCGGCUAACUCCGUGCCAGCAGCCGCGGUAAUAC
rnacentral:rRNA from 1 species